CGGAGGAAAAGAAACUAACAAGGAUUCCCUUAGUAACGGCGAGUGAACCGGGAAAAGCUCAAAUUUGAAAUCUGGCUGUCUUCGAUAGUCCGAGUUGUAAUCUAUAGAAGCGUUUUCCGUGCUGAACUGUGUCUAAGUCCCUUGGAACAGGGUAUCAAAGAGGGUGACAAUCCCGUACUUGACACAAUCAUCAGUGCUCUGUGAUACGUUCUCUACGAGUCGAGUUGUUUGGGAAUGCAGCUCAAAAUGGGUGGUGAAUUCCAUCUAAAGCUAAAUAUUGGCGAGAGACCGAUAGCGAACAAGUACCGUGAGGGAAAGAUGAAAAGCACUUUGGAAAGAGAGUUAAACAGUACGUGAAAUUGUUAAAAGGGAAACGAUUGAAGUCAGUCGUGUUUAUUGGAUUCAGCCGGUCUUCGGUGUACUUCCUUUAAACGGGUCAACAUCAGUUUUGUUCGGUGGAUAAAGGUAUUAGGAAUGUGGCUUCUCCGGAAGUGUUAUAGCCUAGUAUCACAUACACUGGAGGAGACUGAGGAAUGCAGCUCGCCUUUAUGGCCGGGGUUCGCCCACGUUCGAGCUUAGGAUGUUGACAUAAUGGCUUUAAACGACCC
rnacentral:rRNA from 1 species